rnacentral:rRNA from 1 species
UACGGAGGGAGCUAGCGUUGUUCGGAAUUACUGGGCGUAAAGCGCGCGUAGGCGGUUACUCAAGUCAGAGGUGAAAGCCCGGAGCUCAACUCCGGAACUGCCUUUGAAACUAGGUAACUAGAAUCUUGGAGAGGUCAGUGGAAUUCCGAGUGUAGAGGUGAAAUUCGUAGAUAUUCGGAAGAACACCAGUGGCGAAGGCGACUGACUGGACAAGUAUUGACGCUGAGGUGCGAAAGCGUGGGGAGCAAACAGG